rnacentral:rRNA from 1 species
GCCGCUUGCGGUCUGUAUACAGGUGCUGCAUGGCUGUCGUCAGCUCGUGCUGUGAAGUGUUGGGUUAAGUCCCGCAACCGAGCGCAACCCCUAUCAUCUGUUGCCAGCAUUUAAGGUGGGGACUCAGAUGAGACUGCCGGUGACAAACCGGAGGAAGGUGGGGACGACGUCAAGUCAUCAUGGCCCUUAUGUCCUGGGCUACACACGUGCUACAAUGGCCGGUACAGAGUGAAGCGAAACCGCGAGGUGAAGCAAAACGCAGAAAGCCGGUCUCAGUACGGAUUGGAGUCUGAAACUCGACUUCAUGAAGUUGGAAUCGCUAGUAAUCGUGAAUCAGAAUGUCACGGUGAAUACGUUCCCGGGCCUU